rnacentral:misc_RNA from 1 species
GUGAAUCAUCGAAUUUUUGAACGCACAUUGCACUCUCCUCGGAGAGUAUGCCUGUUUGAGGUCCAGCCUAUAAUAAACGACAUCGUUGCCGCUUCGCGGUGGCGGUCGUCGGUAAUGGGGUCAUCUUAAAUUCUUUUGAUUUAAGCGACUUACAAUUUUCUUUUGGUCCCAUGAACGUUUCUAAGAUCUAUUUCGUUACACGUUUAAGGUAUCGAUUUUUACUAGACGUGACCAUCAUAACGGAUCGCGUCCAUAAUCUUUCAUAAACUUACCUC